AUUGAACGCUGGCGGCAGGCCUAACACAUGCAAGUCGAGCGGUAGCACAGAGAGCUUGCUCUCGGGUGACGAGCGGCGGACGGGUGAGUAAUGUCUGGGAAACUGCCUGAUGGAGGGGGAUAACUACUGGAAACGGUAGCUAAUACCGCAUAACGUCGCAAGACCAAAGUGGGGGACCUUCGGGCCUCAUGCCAUCAGAUGUGCCCAGAUGGGAUUAGCUAGUAGGUGGGGUAACGGCUCACCUAGGCGACGAUCCCUAGCUGGUCUGAGAGGAUGACCAGCCACACUGGAACUGAGACACGGUCCAGACUCCUACGGGAGGCAGCAGUGGGGAAUAUUGCACAAUGGGCGCAAGCCUGAUGCAGCCAUGCCGCGUGUAUGAAGAAGGCCUUCGGGUUGUAAAGUACUUUCAGCGGGGAGGAAGGUGCUGAGGUUAAUAACCUCAGCAAUUGACGUUACCCGCAGAAGAAGCACCGGCUAACUCCGUGCCAGCAGCCGCCGUAA
rnacentral:rRNA from 1 species